UACGGGGAAGGAUGAGAAGCUUCGACUAAGGUUCGAUUCGAGCGAAAGCGAGAAAGCGUUGCCGCAGGCAACGACCCGAAGGGCGAAGCGCGCAGCGCUGAGUCAUCCUUCCCCCACCACCA
rnacentral:sRNA from 1 species